AAAAGAUGUGAUAUAAUUUUUGCUGUCCGUUCGAUGAACUUGAGCAGAUCGAUUAUUUCAAAACUGUUCGAGUAUAAAUAGUUGCUGAAUUGAUUUUAAAAUUAACAGAUUCUUAUAAGAAUUCAACAAGUUCACUUCAAACAAAAACUUUAACUUCUAUUCAAAAUGAAAUUCUUCCUUAUCACACUCCUGGUAUGCUUUGCCAUGGUUCUCUCAAUGGCUGCUGCUGCUCCAUCUGAAGAAGGAAUUUUCGGUGACUUACCUGACAGCGAUAUUGUCAACCCACAGGAACCAAACGAAUCACUGAAAUUGUUGCUGUUGAAGAAAUUGAAGCUCAAGUUGUUGAGAGGUUAAGCUGAUCAAAUAUUAUUGUUACUAAAUGCAUUAAGUUCACAAAGAUUGAUUAUUUUUAAGUUAUUGUUACAAUAAAAAGUUAUUUAAGACAAAAUCAAAUUUA